rnacentral:rRNA from 1 species
GACAGAGGGUGCAAACGUUGUUCGGAAUUACUGGGCGUAAAGCGCGUGUAGGCGGCCCUGCAAGUCGGAUGUGAAAUCCCACGGCCCAACCGUGGAAGUGCAUUCGAAACUGCAGGGCUAGAGUCCUGGAGAGGAAGGUGGAAUGCUUGGUGUAGAGGUGAAAUUCGUAGAUAUCAAGCGGAACACCGGUGGCGAAGGCGGCCUUCUGGACAGUGACUGACGCUGAGACGCGAAAGCGUGGGGAGCAAACAGG